GACGAACGCUGGCGGCGUGCUUAACACAUGCAAGUCGAACGGAAAGGCCCUGCUUUUGUGGGGUGCUCGAGUGGCGAACGGGUGAGUAACACGUGAGUAACCUGCCCUUGACUUUGGGAUAACUUCAGGAAACUGGGGCUAAUACCGGAUAGGAGCUCCUGCUGCAUGGUGGGGGUUGGAAAGUUUCGGCGGUUGGGGCUGGACUCGCGGCUUAUCAGCUUGUUGGUGAGGUAGUGGCUUACCAAGGCUUCGACGGGUAGGCGGCCUGAGAGGGUGACCGGCCACAUUGGGACUGAGAGACGGCCCAGACUCCUACGGGAGGCAGCAGUGGGGAGUAUUGCACAGUGGGCGGAAGCCUGAUGCAGCGACGCCGCGUGCGGGAUGACGGCCUUCGGGUGGUAAACCGCUGUCUCCUGUGACGAAGCGUGAGUGACGGUAAUGGGUAAGGAAGCACCGGCUAACUACGUG
rnacentral:rRNA from 1 species